CAGGCGUAAUCAAAACUAUUUAUGUGUUGAAGAAGGAAUAGUGUUUUAUUUUCCAUCUCUGUCCUGACCUCGAGGAACAGUGGAGCUUCCAUUUGUGCUGAGACAGUGUGUCCUCAUCCACUGCCGAUGGACCACCUGGGAUGUCACAGCCACCUGGAAACCAUUUGUGGAUGGGAGAGACAUGUCAGUUCUUCCUGCCAUACAUAAAAAUUGUGAUGCUCACCCACAUCCAAGUGCUCAGGAAAGUGUAGCCCUUUAUUUUGUAUUUCUAUCUGUACUUUGUUAUAUGCAGUUACUAUUAGCCUUUGUACAUAUGUGCUCCUUCGUAACCAUAGGAAGCAGGAAACUGCACCAGCCACAUCAAGCUCCCUCCCGUGCCCAGGUAUUUCAAGUAAAGGCGUCUCAUCUUAAGAGGAACUGCAAGGCUCACCAAACCAAAAAGGUCACCUAACACAGCUCCCUGGAACAGCGGAGAUAAGAAUCCUGGUGCUCAGAGUGACACGUCUCCCAGUGGUCUGCACGGACGCUGCUGAAGCCACAUUGUCACAACCCUCAGGUAUUAUCAGCUGACUUCCUUACGUUAAAAAUGAAGAUUGUGCUCUCUGAUACUGUUCACCCCAGUGCAUCCCUAAACCCUCACUCUUCCUUUGCCCACAACCUUCUCAUUUCUAUGGCAUAAGAAGGGGAAUUGUAUGGAAUGAG